CGGGGAGGAACUUUUUUUUGAGUGUCCGUGGAGGAAUCGCUCCGUUGAGCAAUGCCCGGGUGACGCGACCCAAGACUAUAAAAGCAAAAGUUGUGUCCCCCACCUGUAGGAGUUAGUGACAGGAAGGGCUGGCGCUUGGGCUGAGUGGUGGGGAGGAGGUGGCUAGUUCAGGGCUCAGAGAAGAGAUGGCAGAGUUAGGGGUAGCCACUAGGGUUGGGGUGCGAGAAGGGAAGCUAGCUAAAAAGGGGGCUAGUUUUUGGGACAGUGGACGAGUGGAAGGCGGCUUCCGUGGCGGCUUCCGUAGCGCCUUCCACGAGCCACACAGGGACAGCAGCCUUCGAGACCAGGCUGUCCCUGGGGUCUGCUGGAGCGGGGCCACUUGACCCCCAGGAAGGCACAGUUUCACGGGCUUACACGGGCCCAGUGCCUAGCUUGAAUUGAGUGGCAGAGCAGAAAGUGCUGGAGACGGGUGGACCUGGGCCCUCGAGGCCUUGGAAAUCAUGAAAGGCAGGCAGUGGGGGGCAGAGCUAGGCGGGCCGUGGGUCGGCCUCGACCUUUGCGAGACCAGCAGACCCCUUAUUUUCCAGAUGAGGGGUUGUGAGCCUGCGUGGGGAUGAGGCCUGGUCUAACGGAAGGUGGACUUAGCUUCGCUGGGCACACAGCUGUGGCCCACGGUGAUCGCACUGCUCCCCUCUGGACUUCUCUAGGUCCCGUGGUUCCCUCUUCUGUGAUCUCCCUCUUGCCCUACUGUUCCCUCUAACUCUGAGGUUAAGGAUUCACUUAAAACCUUGGCCUCUGGGUUAUCUGGUAAGCCUUGGGAAGGUGUAGAUCGGUGUCGCAGGCUUGGACUCUGGUGCUUUGGUAUUCACUGGUAAAAGUGCAGGAUACAUACCCUGACUGGGUGGGGAGAGUUGGGUGGGCUCGCAGCUGUGCGGUCACCAAAUGCCUCAUGGAUGUGGUUUAUUGCUGUAGUGUUCAUCAUGCCAAGCAGAUGGCACCAGGAGGAAUGGAGCCCUUGCCAGUGUGAGUCGUAGCAGUGCAGGAGGGCAGACCCUGGCGGAGACAUCGGCCUAAGUUGAUGCCCUACCCAGUGAAUUCCAGAGGCUUAGGAGGUUCCGCUCAGCCAUGUGUCCAGGCCUGGUUCAGGAGGCCAACGUUUUAAGUUCAGAUCCGCUUUCGGGGGGCGGGCAGAUGCUUCCAGCUGGAGGGGCUGUCGGCUGUGAAUGUUCUGGGAGCACCAUUCUCCGGAUUCGGGAAUGCCAGCAGGGACCCCCCCCUCCUGGGGGGGGAGAGGCGUUCAUUCGGCUGCUACAUCUUCUAAACCAAGCCUCCAGUCUUGCUGGUUCUGUGCUGCAAACUUGGCUUCGAGAAGAUUCCUGGGGUGUAGAACACUGGCUUGAUGUCCUCCGUGAAGCCUGCCGUGUAGAUGGAGUCCGGUGACCACACCCACCUUCCCCGCUUCUGCAGCCGGCCCGCCUCUGCCUCGGUCAGAGGAUUUCUUAGUGUGAUAAAACUUUUGGGUGUUGGGGAAAGCUGUUCACUUACAGAUGACUUUGGGGAAGGGUAUUCCGUGGAGCCAGUUGUUAACUAGGGUGGGGUGGGCACAAACUGCCCACAAGUUCUGUUGGGGUUUGUAGAUGGCGUAUCUAAUCUUGGGCGGCACCUGGCACUGGAAGGGAAUGGCGGGCCUGCAGUGGUCCCCGGGGAUCUGGUUUUCUGUGGGUUUGGGCCUGGCGCUGGGUGGUAGGCACGCGCUAUCCAAACUUACAACCUAGUUCUUGAUUCCUUUUGUUGGCUGGUUCUCCUGACUCGGGGCCUGGCGGUGUGUACCGGGCUGGCCUGGGUUCUCAAUCCUGCUGGGGUUACAGGGGUCAUCUAAAACCUGUCCUUCUGCCUUAAACUUGUACUGGGUCAGGCUUGGGAACACUGCUACCAGAGGUGGGACUGGCUGUGCUUGGCACUGGUGUUGGCCAGAGGCUCGAUGGAGAAGUGGGGUGCUGGCAGGGGGCGUGCUUGGGGUCGAUGGGGGUAACAGUUUGGGAACUAAAUAGCACUCGUAGAAGGUAAAUCCGGAAUGAGGGUGAAUGAAUCCUUGGUGUCCAGUGGCGGUGGCUUGGAAAUUAUCAAAAUCUUGCUCAAAUCCAAGAGGAAAAGCAAAAUUGUUUUGCUUUGCUGUUGAAUGGGGAAUAAUUGAAGUUGUGUCUGAAAAACAUUUUUAUAAUUGCUGAACGAUCGUGUCAAACUCAAGAAUACACAAACACAUGCCAACCUAUGGGGGCAGCCGGAAAGGGUUGCUGGGAAGCGGUUUCCAAGGAGUAAAAGGGGGAGGGCUUGUGAAUGCCCACAUUGUGGGCUCUUGAAAAACCUUUGUGCUUGGUUCACACUACUGGGGGUUUAUCGGGUACUGUUAUUGGAGAUUCUAAUGCUAUCUAAAUUUGGGUGUCCUGCGUCCAUUUACAACACAUACAGGAAUGUAUCGUGCAGGUCCUGCGUUAUGCAACACAGGAAUGUAGUGUGUGAGCCAUGCCUUACGAAACACAUCUUGAAUUUCUGGAACUGGCUGGGAGACAACAGCGUUUGCAUACUUGACUAAUCUUUCAAAUGCGUCAUUGUGACUAGGGGACGGUCUUGCGUUUAUGGGAUCACUGGAAACCUGUUCCGUGCACCUGUGCCUUUGCCAUGAAUCAUUGUUCUUUGGUUUGAAAGGCGCUUUUUAACCCAUUCUCGACCAGAGGGGGAGACUAAUCAGUUUGGGAAAUAAAAAAAUAAAACCGGGGAGGGGCCACCUUACUAGAGAAUGAUCUGCAGAGAUUGACUCUGAAUGUUUUGAGCGUUGGUAAAGCAACAGCCGAGUGGCUUUUGUGUUUUCUCCUCUUAGAAUACAGCCCUCAAGUGCUGCUCGAGGGACCUUGUCUUCUGGGUUGGUGGCUUUGUGUUUGCUGUGUGAGCAGGGUGGGCAUGAUUGUCAUUGGAACAGCCGGGUUUUGGUCUCUGGAAUGGGGAGGUGUGAAGAGCUGUACGGGGUCAGCAGCACCUACUUGUCUGUACUAGAGUGUUCAGUGUGUAGCCACUAAUCACUUUCUCCCCUUAACAGCAAAAUAAAGGUUUGAGAUUGAA